rnacentral:rRNA from 1 species
UUAAACGGCCGCGGUAUCCUAACCGUGCAAAGGUAGCGUAANCACUUGUCCCCUAAAUAGGGACCUGUAUGAACGGCUAAAUGAGGACUAAUCUGUCUCCUUUGACAAAUCAGUGAAACUGAUCUGCCAGUACAAAAGCUGGCAUAACUACAUAAGACGAGAAGACCCUGUGGAGCUUUAAACUCACAGCCAAAAAACACAAAUCAACAUAACACUAAUGGCAAAAGUUUUAAGUUGGGGCGACUUCGGAACAAAGAAAAACUUCCGAGCAUAAAGAACAUUAAUCUUACCAAGACCAACAAGUCAAAGCAAAUAUUGACCCAGUAAAACUGAUCACCGAACCAAGUUACCCCAGGGAUAACAGCGCAAUCUUCUUCAAGAGUCCAUAUCGACAAGAAGGUUNACGACCUCNAUGNUGGAUCAGGACACCCAAAUGGUGCAGCCGCUAUUAAAG